GUCCAGACUCCUACGGGAGGCAGCAGUAGGGAAUCUUUCACAAUGGGCGAAAGCCUGAUGGAGCAACGCCGCGUGAAGGAAGAAGGCCCUCGGGUUGUAAACUUCUUUUGUCAGGGACGAAGCAAGUGACGGUACCUGACGAAUAAGCCACGGCUAACUACGUGCCAGCAGCCGCGGUAAUACGUAGGUGGCAAGCGUUAUCCGGAUUUACUGGGUGUAAAGGGCGUGUAGGCGGGGAAGCAAGUCAGAUGUGAAAUUCCAGGGCUCAACCCUGGAACUGCAUUUGAAACUGUUUUUCUUGAGUGAUGGAGAGGCAGGCGGAAUUCCGUGUGUAGCGGUGAAAUACGUAGAUAUACGGAGGAACACCAGUGGCGAAGGCGGCCUGCUGGACAUUAACUGACGCUGAGGCGCGAAAGCGUGGGGAGCAAACAGGAUUAGAUACCCCAGUACAG
rnacentral:rRNA from 1 species